rnacentral:rRNA from 1 species
UACAGAGGGUGCGAGCGUUGUUCGGAAUUACUGGGCGUAAAGGGCUCGUAGGUGGCCAACUAAGUCGGACGUGAAAUCCCUCAGCUUAACUGGGGAACUGCGUCCGAUACUGGAUGGCUUGAGUUUGGGAGAGGGAUGCGGAAUUCCAGGUGUAGCGGUGAAAUGCGUAGAUAUCUGGAGGAACACCGGUGGCGAAGGCGGCAUCCUGGACCAACACUGACACUGAGGAGCGAAAGCCAGGGGAGCAAACGGG